rnacentral:rRNA from 1 species
UGGGGAAUUUUGGACAAUGGGGGAAACCCUGAUCCAGCCAUCCCGCGUGUGCGAUGAAGGCCUUCGGGUUGUAAAGCACUUUUGGCAGGAAAGAAACGUCAUGGGUUAAUACCCCGUGAAACUGACGGUACCUGCAGAAUAAGCACCGGCUAACUACGUGCCAGCAGCCGCGGUAAUACGUAGGGUGCAAGCGUUAAUCGGAAUUACUGGGCGUAAAGCGUGCGCAGGCGGUUCGGAAAGAAAGAUGUGAAAUCCCAGAGCUCAACUUUGGAACUGCAUUUUUAACUACCGGGCUAGAGUGUGUCAGAGGGAGGGGGAAUUCCGCGUGUAGCAGUGAAAUGCGUGGAUAUGCGGAGGAACACCGAUGGCGAAGGCAGCCUCCUGGGAUAACACUGACGCUCAUGCACGAAAGCGUGGGGAGCAAACAGG